GAGCCAUGGAGCGUGCCACAAAAAAAAAAAAAAGAGACGCACUCUUCAUUGCUGACUCUUCAUGGCAGAGGAGUUACCAUUUCACCAAAACCUCCAGCUGGAUCCAGGACACAGAGACCUGCUGGCUUGUCCCACAGAGCUGCGCAUUGACCUUUGAAUGACCUUGGGUUCAUGGUUGAACAUCCUAGGGUUAUGCAGUGGGAAGCCUUCACUAAGAGUGAAUCUUGGGUUUCCUCUUGCCUCUGAGAGCCCCAGGAAAGCCAGUGUGAAGGUCAGUCCCGGUGGAAGUCACGGUAGCAGGACCUUGACGCAGACGAUCACACCGCACCCCUGCAGGAAGAAGAGUGAAGUGAGAGCUGGCGCUUAGCUUGCUCCUUCCUUUAUUAAGUUUGGGACCCCAGCCCCUGGGCUGGUGGCAUUCAGACUUAGGGUACAUUCGUUCACCUCAGUUAACCUAAUCUAGAAAGUUCCUAGAGACACACCCGGGGUCUGUGUCCUAGGUAAUUCUAGAUCCUUGUCAAGUUGACAGUCAGUAUAAGCUACCACUUCCCUUCUAGAUUGAUCUUUAGUUUUUACACAAGGUACAUUUAUUCUGUUAUCAUCAAAUUUGGGAACAUUGGAAGAAUGCUUAAGAGAAAUUUCCCUUAUCUCCUCUCUGCUCAAGGUCAAAUCGACAAAGGAAUGAAGUGAUUCCUGAGUGUGAAUACUCUGAUCUUUCUCAUUUGAUUCCCUUUGUGCAUGAGCACAAAAGAGAUGAACCUUGGGCAUCAUUACUCUGUUGCAGAAUAUUAUUUUAAGAUGUGUUACUUUUGUUUAUGUUGCAUUUGUUUAACUCUGUAAAGCUGUGUUACUGUGCCUGUCUAAAACA